rnacentral:rRNA from 1 species
GCUGGCGACCAUAGCAAGAGUGAACCACCUGAUCCCUUCCCGAACUCAGAAGUGAAACCUCUUAGCGCUGAUGGUAGUGUGGGAUUACCCAGCAAUUAUAUAUAAACUUAACCA